rnacentral:rRNA from 1 species
AAUGGGCGGAAGCCUGAUCCAGCAAUACCGCGUGUGUGAAGAAGGCCUGAGGGUUGUAAAGCACUUCCAGUUAAGAGGAGCGGAGUUUGUUUAAGAGAUGAGCUCCAAGACGUUAUUGACAGAAGAAGCACCGGCUAACUCUGUGCCAGCAGCCGCGGUAAGACAGAGGGUGCGAGCGUUAAUCGGAAUCACUGGGCGUAAAGGGCGCGUAGGCGGUCACGUAAGUGGGUUGUGAAAUACCCGGGCUCAACCUGGGGGGGUCAAUCCAAACUGUGUGACUGGAGUACGGUAGAGGUAAGCGGAAUUUCCGGUGUAGCGGUGAAAUGCGUAGAGAUCGGAAAGAACAUCAGUGGCGAAGGCGGCUUACUGGACUGAUACUGACGCUGAGGCGCGAAAGCAUGGGUAGCGAACAGGAUU